UACAGAGGGGGCAAGCGUUGUUCGGAAUUACUGGGCGUAAAGGGCGCGUAGGUGGCCUUCUAAGUUGAACGUGAAAUCCCUGGGCUCAACCCAGGAACUGCGUCCAAGACUGGGAGGCUUGAAUCCGGGAGAGGGAUGCGGAAUUCCAGGUGUAGCGGUGAAAUGCGUAGAUAUCUGGAGGAACACCGGUGGCGAAGGCGGCAUCCUGGAACGGUACUGACGCUGAGACGCGAAAGCGUGGGGAGCGAACAGG
rnacentral:rRNA from 1 species